rnacentral:rRNA from 1 species
UACGAAGGGGGCUAGCGUUGCUCGGAAUUACUGGGCGUAAAGGGAGCGUAGGCGGACUGUUUAGUCAGAGGUGAAAGCCCAGGGCUCAACCUUGGAAUAGCCUUUGAUACUGGCAGUCUUGAGUACGGAAGAGGUAUGUGGAACUCCGAGUGUAGAGGUGAAAUUCGUAGAUAUUCGGAGGAACACCAGUGGCGAAGGCGACAUACUGGUCCGUUACUGACGCUGAGGCUCGAAAGCGUGGGGAGCAAACAGG